rnacentral:rRNA from 1 species
AACUUUCAGCAACGGAUCUCUUGGCUCUCGCAUCGAUGAAGAACGCAGCGAAAUGCGAUAAGUAAUGUGAAUUGCAGAAUUCAGUGAAUCAUCGAAUCUUUGAACGCACCUUGCGCCCCUUGGUAUUCCGAGGAGCAUGCCUGUUUGAGUGUCAU